CAUGGAUGCCGAAGACGAUGGAAAAAGAAGAGGUGAGUACGAGAUGCUGGUGCGAGAAGAGAUAGAAGAUGACGAUGUGUGCUCUGUCUUCUCUACAAAAGAAGAUUUCAAGAAUGAAGGUAAAUUUUUUUCUGAGGCCAGAUAGGUCAAGGACUUCAGGCAACUUGAGUUGGUGUCGGUUGAGGAAGAUACCCUGGUACAUAAUCAUCAAUACAACCAGGAAAUAGAAGAGAUCCUUCAUAUCAGCCUCGAAGAUGUUAAUGUGGUGGAACGGAU
rnacentral:lncRNA from 1 species